rnacentral:rRNA from 1 species
AGCGAACGCUGGCGGCAGGCUUAACACAUGCAAGUCGAACGGCCCUUUCGGGGGCAGUGGCGGACGGGUGAGUAACACGUGGGAACGUGCCCUUAGGUUCGGAACAACACAGGGAAACUUGUGCUAAUACCGGAUGUGCCCUUUUGGGGAAAGAUUUAUCGCCUUUGGAGCGGCCCGCGUCUGAUUAGCUAGUUGGUGGGGUAAAGGCCUACCAAGGCUACGAUCAGUAGCUGGUCUGAGAGGANGGCCAGCCACACUGGGACUGAGACACGGCCCAGACUCCUACGGGAGGCAGCAGUGGGGAAUCUUGCGCAAUGGGCGAAAGCCUGACGCAGCCAUGCCGCGUGGAUGAUGAAGGUCUUAGGAUUGUAAAAUCCUUUCAGCGGGGACGAUAAUGACGGUACCCGCAGAAGAAGCCCCGGCUAACUUCGUGCCAGCCGCCGCCGUAAC